rnacentral:lncRNA from 1 species
CAGCACCGGCCGGCACGUGGCACGCGGUUUUUCUGGGCUUUUGGCCUCUUCCCCCUAGGCUCGCACCCCCACCACCACCCGAUUCCCGGAACCCGCCCCAUUUCCGCCUCCUCCUUCGCCUUCGCGGCUUCGCCUCUCUCCCACACAUGCAUCGCCAUCGCCGUCAUCGUCAGGACUAAGCUCUGCUCUGCAUCUGCACCACCACCCAGCUGCAGCCCGAACAAGAAGACGAGCAUCUCAUCUCAUCUCAUCUGCCGAUCGAUCGAUUCGCUGCAGGGAGAGCUGAACAAUGGAGUUCGUGUUGAUCAUCUCGCUGCCGCUCCUCAUCCUGAUCAUAAUCGUCGCGGUGGUUCUCUGCAUCAUCUGCCGCUAGCUGAAUGGUGACACCUCAUUGUUCUUCCUGCCCAUAUCUUGAUGUGAACAUAUCAUGUAUCAAUUGAUUAGUAUCUCAUGACUCACAACAGAGCAGUCUCGUACUCUCUUUGGGGGGCCAGUGUGGUUGUGAUUAGUUUGGCCCUAGCUUUGAUGAGCAAAAAGACAUUGAUUCUGAAUGUCAUACAUACAUAUGUGCUGUGAGA